rnacentral:rRNA from 1 species
UACGGGGGGGGUAAGCGUUGUUCGGAAUUACUGGGCGUAAAGGGCUCGUAGGCGGCCAACUAAGUCGGACGUGAAAUCCCUCAGCUUAACUGGGGAACUGCGUCCGAUACUGGAUGGCUUGGAUUUGGGAGAGGGAUGCGGAAUUCCAGGUGUAGCGGUGAAAUGCGCAGAUAUCAGGAGGAACACCGGUGGCGAAGGCGGUUCUCUGGGCAUGUCCUGACGCUGAGGAGCGAAAGUGUGGGGAGCGAACAGG